rnacentral:sRNA from 1 species
AGCGGUAACGAGCAACUCCUCAUACCCCACAAGCGCAUAAGUGUCGCCCAUAGGUUUGAGCACCGCAGCUUUAAUGCUGUGGUGGCC